rnacentral:rRNA from 1 species
GAUGAACGCUGGCGGCGUGCCUAAUACAUGCAAGUCGAGCGAACAGAUGAGGAGCUUGCUCCUCUGACGUUAGCGGCGGACGGGUGUGUAACACGUGGAUAACCUACCUAUAAGACUGGGAUAACUUCGGGAAACCGGAGCUAAUACCGGAUAAUAUAUUGAACCGCAUGGUUCAAUAGUGAAAGACGGUUUUGCUGUCACUUAUAGAUGGAUCCGCGCCGCAUUAGCUAGUUGGUAAGGUAACGGCUUACCAAGGCAACGAUGCGUAGCCGACCUGAGAGGGUGAUCGGCCACACUGGAACUGGGACACGGUCCAGACUCCUACGGGAGGCAGCAGUAGGGAAUCUUACGCAAUGGGCGAAAGCCUGACGGAGCAACGCCGCGUGAGUUAUGAAGGUCUUCGGAUCGUAAAACUCUGUUAUUAGGGAAGAACAAAUGUGUAAGUAACUAUGCACGUCUUGACGGUACCUAAUCAGAAAGCCACGGCUAACUACGUG